CCUACGGGUGGCAGCAGUCGAGAAUCAUUCACAAUGGACGAAAGUCUGAUGGUGCGACGCCGCGUGGGGGAUGAAGGCCUUAGGGUCGUAAACCCCUGUCAGGUGCGAGUAAGGUCCUACUUACGUAGGAAUUGAUAUUAGCAUCAAAGGAAGGGACGGCUAACUCCGUGCCAGCAGCCGCGGUAAUACGGAGGUCCCAAGCGUUGUUCGGAUUCACUGGGCGUAAAGCGUGCGUAGGCGGAGAAAUAAGUUUGGCGUGAAAGCCCCGGGCCCAACCCGGAAAUUGCGUUGAAAACUAUUUCCCUAGAGGAUUGGAGGGGAGACUGGAAUUCCUGGUGUAGCAGUGAAAUGCGUAGAUAUCAGGAGGAACACCGGUGGCGAAGGCGAGUCUCUGGACAAUUCCUGACGCUGAGGUACGAAGGCUAGGGUAGCGAAAAGGA
rnacentral:rRNA from 1 species